rnacentral:lncRNA from 1 species
CAGUCGGGCAGCCAAGCCUGAUUUCUUAUUUCUGACCGGAAGUGACGUUUUUCUCAAAAUGGCUGACUUUUAGUGUGGUAGUGCCACUUGCCUAUUUUGAUUGUUUAUGUCAAAGCUAAGAAGUCUACAGUUACUUUGUUGUUCUCUGAACUUUUAGCAUUGGAUAAAGAUGUAGCAAACUGAUCUUCUACAUUUAUAAUCAAGAACUGUUCGUGUUUCAGGUGCUUGUUUCCACUGUAAGGAUUUAUAAUGGCUGACACAAAAAUCAUAUUAAAUUCUAUAACUUGUAAAAUAGAGUGAAUGCAAUCACACUUACAAGUUUCAUUGCUGUAGGAGAAAAGGGAAAAUUUUUCUAA